GAAGACACAGCUGCAGGGGGCUCUUAAAGGGAGCUAGAGAGAGAAAGAUGCUGAAAGAUUGGGAGCCCAGUAUUAAAAUCUAGAAAAGGGAGGCUUUUUUAGCAUUCUCAUUUCCAAUUGCUCUAAUUCCUCUAGAAUUUUUUUUUAAUGCUGAAAAGACGAAGCGAAUUCAUUCUGACUUAGUAUUUUUCCCUCCGUUUAACUUUUCAUUGUCCAAAAAGAAGAAUCCACGCGACAAUAGCAACAGAAUAAACUGUAAGAAGGCACGACCAGCCGCGCCGGCCACCUGGCGGGGCCCGAGCCCGCGCCGCCGCCGCCGCCGCCGCCGCGGGAGCCGUUCGCGCCCAGCCUGGGCAGCGCCUUCCACCUGCCCGACGCGCCGCCCGCCGCCGCCGCCGCCGCGCUCUACUACUCCAGCUCCACGCUGCCCGCGCCGCCGCGCGGGGGCUCCCCGCUGGCCGCGCCCCAGGGCGGUUCGCCCACCAAGCUGCAGCGCGGCGGCUCGGCCCC
rnacentral:sRNA from 1 species